rnacentral:rRNA from 1 species
CUUUAUAAAUAAAAUAAAAAAAGACCCGCCCGAUCUCGUCUGAUCUCGGAAGCCAAACAGGGUUGGGCCUGGUUAGUACCUGGAUGGGAGACCGCUUGGGAAUACCAGGUGCUGUAAGUU